ACAUUUUUUUACUGUUUGUUUUAAUUGUUUGGUUGAAUCAUUUUGUGUUGCUGAAAUUAUGAUUGAUAGAAGAUGCUUUUUGCUUAACUAAAGUAGUCUCAUGCAAAUUAAUUUAGUUUACAUUUAUUUAUUACACAUAUUAUAUGGAGAUCUUUUCUCCCACUGCACUGAUUCAGCUCUAUCCAGAAUCUUGUGUAUGUUCAAGGAGAAUGUUAGAUAAGGACUAAUGCCAAAAGACUGAAAAAGAAAAGCUGAGAAACAAAUUUUCAACUUCUGAUCUGCUGUGGGGAUAUGCAGCAAUAUAACUAGUGUAACCAGCUAGAACAACCACAAGCAUUCUACAAGGAAUACUCUUGGUAACCACUUUGUUCUCCAGUCACCUGGUAUUUGAAAAAUGAAAAAUAUUCUGCAAAAGUUUUGAAAACUAUUAGCCUUCUGAUACUUUGUCUUGAUCUGCCUGGAUUAAUUAUUUGCAGCUGUUUUCAUAGGUCUAUGAAAUGCUAGUUCAUUGAUUUAGUGAUUUAUAUAUUUGACAUAAAAAUUUACUCAUCAUGACAACAGUGAACCCCCUCAGUUUCUUCAAUUACUGAAAAAACAAGUAGAGAAAAAAAAGAAAAAAAAAGUUGGGGGGGGUCACUGACAUUUGUGGUAGUUCUAGUCAGCCAUAUUAACCUAAAGGCCGUUACCACCUGUAACAGUGCCUUUGUUCAGCUUUGGGUUUGUAUAUCAUAAAGUUUGGGUAUCUUUUAGUUGAAAAAAUAAUUUAAGAAAAAUAUUGGGAUUUUAGAGAGGAAAGAGAAAUUAGGAUAUGAAACCUUUCAAUAUGUGAUGGACAGUGUCAGUGCUGAGGACUUUUCACUUCAGCACAAGAGAACACACCUCUCCACUUUCUAAAUGACUUUUACUCUGUAAAAAUAAGUUUACUGUAGUAUCACUUGGUUUUGUUUAACAAUUAUGAAACUGCUUUAAGUGAUGACAAAGUGAGUCAGUGUCGUUGUUCUUCUAUUUGGCAUUUAAUGUUCAUUAGUACAAUGCGAAUUCUUUCAUCUGUACGCUAAUAGGAGCAUGUAUCCUAUCAAUCCUAUCAAAUUGUGGGAAGGUAUAUAUGGAUCUCCCAGAGAGUUCUGAAGGUUUUCUGUGUUGGCACGUGGAUAGCAGCAUGAAAAAAUGAAAUUUAUGUCAUAUUUGUCACUGCCUCUGACCUGAAUUUUUUCUUAAAAUGUAAUAAAUGAAAGUUGUGUUUCCUCAAACUGAAAAUGUACCUAUGCAUAUACAGCCUCUGGCACCCAAAAGUUUAGCAUUUUUCGCAGUUUUAUUUAUAGUUUAUGUAUAAUUACUUACCUGUGGAUAUAUGU